AGUGAACGCUGGCGGUAGGCCUAACACAUGCAAGUCGAACGGCAGCACAGUAAGAGCUUGCUCUUACGGGUGGCGAGUGGCGGACGGGUGAGGAAUACAUCGGAAUCUACUUUUUCGUGGGGGAUAACGCAGGGAAACUUACGCUAAUAACGCAUACGACCUACGGGUGAAAGCAGGGGAUCUUCGGACCUUGCGCGAUUGAAUGAGCCGAUGUCGGAUUAGCUAGUUAGCGGGGUAGAGGCCCACCAAGGCGACGAUCCGUAGCUGGUCUGAGAGGAUGAUCAGCCACACUGGAACUGAGACACGGUCCAGACUCCGACGGGAGGCAGCAGUGGGGAAUAUUAGACAAUGGGCGCAAGCCUGAUCCAGCCAUACCGCGUGGGUGAAGAAGGCCUUCGGGUUGUAAAGCCCUUUUGUUGGGAAAGAAAAGCAGCAGGUUAAUACCCCGCUGUUCUGACGGUACCCAAAGAAUAAGCACCGGCUAACUUCGUG
rnacentral:rRNA from 1 species